rnacentral:sRNA from 1 species
CCAUAGCCCCGAUUGCAACGGCAUCCUUUUUUGCUUUUUUACAAAUCGUGUUUCGAAAACCAAAUGUGAUGAAAGCAAAAAAGAUAUAGUGGAAAGCGGGAUUAAGC